UAGAAGGUAGGUAGCCAAGGGCUGGAAUGUUGUAGAAAACACUCCAACACUUAUUUUUGUAUGUUCAUCUUUUCAGGAAAUGCCUUUCCUCUACCUGAUAAAGCUGCCAUUUAUAUGACUCUUUUUUUCCCCUGUCAUAAAGAUAGGCAUAUGAGCCAGGCCAGUCUUUCCAGUUACCUAUGAAAAUUUUGCUGAGGCUAGAGCUGCUGACAUAACAUGGAGUGAGCCUAUCUUACCAUCCAGCAAAGACAAAAGAAGGCAGAUAUGAACAAUAAAGAGUAGAGUCCAAAUGAUUUUUGAGAUCUAGGAUUAGAUCCACUGUCCAUUAAGUGGCCACUAAGUUCUGCCUUUUCUCUCACCCAUCCUUGUCACCCUCAUUUAAGCUAUUUUAAAGUAGGUUUUAUUCAUUUGCAAUUAAAAUAGCCUUCACUAAUGUAACCCCUUGGGCGAUAUAGUUCCAUUUUUAGAGAAUAUUACAGAAAAAGGAUUGAAGCAUUAGUUACAGGUGCCCCACCAACACCAUCAUGGAGACAUUUCCUCAGAUGACUUUGUUGGAGAAACUGACUUUAUUAAGGAAGAUAAUGAUUUAUGAUUAAUUCCUAAUUGCUGAAGUCAUUAGCCUCUUUUCAGCCUCUACUCUACCUGACUUUUGUGGAAUUUGACAUCAAUUGUUGCAUAUUCCAAGGGAUCUCAAGAAAAUAAUUCCCCUCUUCUGGUUCUGAACAAUUUAAGGAAUAAAGCAAAGUGGAAAUGGGGGCCAAAAUACCACCUUUUAACUGAUAAAAUAUUAAGUUGAUUGAUAUUGCUUAGUACUUAUACCCAGAGUUAGGCCAAUUUAUACCUUCAAUUCCUAGCAACACUUGACAAGGACAGCAUGGAGGCUGAAACGACAAUUUGGCUUUUGUGUACAACCUUGUCCUUGUAGGUUGGAGGACAGAGCUAAAUAUUAUGAUCUUCACAAAUUCACUACUCAUAUAAAUCACUCAAUCUCCCAGGUAUAGAGAAGGACCUCCAACUAGUUGAGGUCCUUUUACAGGAAGCAAACAUCAGAAGCACACAAGAUGCUUUCUCCACUGGUAUCGAUGACCAAUCCCUACUUGAAACCCACUUCCUUUAAUUUCUAUGAUAACUUCCUAGUUGCUUUAUCUCUCCAGUCAAUCCUACUUAAUAUUCUUUAUAGGUCUUUCUUCCUCCAUCUGGCUUUUAGAUGUUAAAGAGUUUCCCCAUGAUUCAGGCCAUUGCCUUAUUUCUAUAUUAUAUCUUCUCCCUAAGGAAUCUCAUUUCGAUUACCAUGUAAAGGCUAAUGAAUUCAUUACCCUUAUCUUCAACCCAUAUAGAUUGAGGGUUAUCAGUGGAAUUACUGUGUUUAAGCUAACUUUUAUCUCCAACCUAAACAGAUCUAAGAUUAUCAAGUCCUUUUCAUUCUGUGUCCUCUUAUCCAAUUACUUUCUUUAUCCUCACAACCACUACCUUAAUUUGGCUUCUACCAGCUUUUACCCAUACUAUUUCAAAAGUCUAUUAAUCUUUCUGGCUCUGGCCCUAGUUUACUCCAUUUUAUCCUCCACAUUGCCAUCUGAGUUACUUCUUUAUCUUGUAAAAAAAAUUCAUUUCUGAAUGCAAAAACAAUUUGUGUCCAUUGUAGAACACUUAAAAAAAAAUACCUUUUAAAAAUCUAUUUUAUGAGCAUAUUUUCAUGCCAAUGGGUAUUCUCUAUAUUUGUAUUGAAUAUAUAAUGGGUAUAUCACUUUAUUUUUUUUAAUUUUUAUUUAUUUAUGAUAGUCACACAGAGAGAGAGAGAGAGAGAAAGAGGCGGAGACACAGGCAGAGGGAGAAGCAGGCUCCAUACACCAGGAGCCUGAUAUGGGAUUUGAUCCCGGGUCUCCAGGAUCGCGCCCUGGGCCAAAGGCAGGCGCUAAACCGCUGCGCCACCCAGGGAUCCCGGGUAUAUCACUUUAAUACAAGCACUGCAAAAUACUAAUCUAUAACCAAAACUAUUAUAUGAACAUGCUGUAUCCUGUCACCACACUACUUCAAAGUUCUUUGAAUUUUGAAUGCUUUUACAUAACACACACUUUUUUCAGUUCACCACAGUUCACACAAAUUCCUAUUUUCCAGUGUUAUUCCUUCAUUUUUGUCAGCUACCUGUUUUUAUUUUGUUGUUGCUAUUUUCUGGAGGUUUUUUUUUUAAUUUUCAGCUUUUAUUAUGAAAAGAAGAGCUUGAUUCCAGCUCAUCUGGUGUUUUUUAAAAAAAUAUUUUGGGAGGCACCUGGGUGGCUCAAUUGGUUAAGCACCCAACUCGUGAUUUGGGCUUAGGUCAUGGUCUCUGGGUUGGGUCAUGAGAUUGAACCCAGCAUUGGGCUCCACCCUGGGUGUGGAGGCUUGACCUGCUUGAGAUUUUCUCUCUCCCUCUGCCCACCCCAAGCUCCCCCAGCUCAUGCACAGAUACUUUCUCUCUCAAAAACACAUAUAAUAUAUAUUAUAAUAUUAUAUGAUAUAUAAUAUAUACCAUAUGAUAUAUAACAUAAGGUAUUGUAUGACAUAAUAUAUAUUAGAUACAAUAAUAUAUGAUAUAUAUAUAUAUAUAUAUAUAUAGGCAUUUAAGUUGAAAGGGACAUUUUAUCCAAUAUAAGAAUGUGAUUUUUUUUUUAAUAUUUUAUUUAUUAUUUAUUUAUUUAAGUCACAGAGAGAGAGAGAGGCAGACACACAGGCAGAGAGAGAAGCAGGCUCCAUGCACCGGGAGCCCGAUGUGGGAUUCGAUCCCGGGUCUCCAGGAUCGUGCCCUGGGCCAAAGGCAGGCGCCAAACCGCAGCGCCACCCAGGGAUCCCAAGAAUGUGAUUUUUAUUCAUCCACGUGGGAUCUGUUACCUACCGACUCUACUAGUCACUGUGUUAGGCAAGAAAAUGGUGAACAACACAACAUGGUCCUUUGUUUAUUUUUUUUAUUUUUUUAAAGUUUAUUUUUUUUAAGAUUUUAUUUAUUUAUUCAUGAUAGAGAGAGAGAGAGGCAGAGACACAGGCAGAGAGAGAAGCAGGCUCCAUGCACCGGGAGCCCGAUGUGGGAUUCAAUCCUGGGACUCCAGGAUCGCACCCUGGGCCAAAGGCAGGCGCCAAACCACUGCGCCACCCAGGGAUCCCUGGUCCUUUGUUUAAUGUGAGAGACAUAGAAAUGAGAAACUUCCAAAAGGCAAACCUGGCCUAGGGACUUUUGUUUGAGGGUGGAGCUUUCCUGAGAAAAUAAUGUUUGAACUGAGAUCUAUAAUAGAAAUUACUUAGGCAAAAUAAAAUAGAGAAUAUCGCUGGCCAAAGUAGUAUAUGUAAAAAAAAAAAAAAAA
rnacentral:lncRNA from 1 species